GAAAUGCGAUAAGUAGUGUGAAUUGCAGAAUUCAGUGAAUCAUCGAAUCUUUGAACGCACAUUGCGCCCUUUGGUAUUCCUUAGGGCAUGCCUGUUCGAGCGUCAUCUAAACCCUCAAGCCCUGCUUGGUGUUGGGUGCCUGUCCCGCCCCCGUGCGCGGACUCACCUCAAAUCCAUUGGCGGCCCUUGUGCCGGCCCCGAGCGCAGCAGAAACGCGGUCUCGUGGCCCGGCGGAGCGUGCCCCCAGAAGCAACAUUCACCGUUUUGACCUCGGAUCAGGUAGGGAUACCCGCUGAACUUAAGC
rnacentral:misc_RNA from 1 species